UACGUAGGGGGCAAGCGUUGUCCGGAAUCAUUGGGCGUAAAGCGCGUGUAGGCGGCUUCGUAAGUCCGUUGUGAAAGUCCAGGGCUCAACCCUGGAAUGCCGAUGGAUACUGCGGAGCUAGAGUCCGGAAGAGGCGAGUGGAAUUCCACGUGUAGCAGUGAAAUGCGUAGAGAUGUGGAGGAACACCGAUGGCGAAGGCAGCCCCCUGGGCUAACACUGACGCUGAUGAGCGAAAGCUAGGGGAGCAAACGGG
rnacentral:rRNA from 1 species